UUCAGUGGGUUGAAAGUUCUCAUUAAACAUAGCUUUCUUCUCAUCUUUGUGCUUUUUCAGACGUUGUGCAUAUCUCUGAAUCAAAUUUUUUAACUUUAACUUUGUUUAACUUUUUAACAUCAUAAUAUUGGUUGUCUUCUUUCUUUUUUCAGAGUUUAGCUCCAACCCUAAUUAAGCAGACCUGAGCAGCUGAUCAAGGAUCAGCAGAGACUCUGCAGAACAUUGGUCCUCCAGCCCAGGACUGGACACCAGUGUUAGUGUCUGUCUCAGAAGCUGAAGAAAAGAGGCCACACCUCAGAGGAAAUAAGUGCCUCCUAAGUGUACGGAAACACCUGGCUGAGAAGAUCAGUGACAUAAACCAGAUAAAACUGUCAGUGGUCUAAGACAGCUACAAUGAAGCCACAAACACAGUUCAUAGUUCCUGUAUUUCUAUAAUGCAUUAAUUAAUAACAAUAAUUAAAAAAAAAGUAAUGUAAAGGUUUUGUGUUAAUUCCAGCUAUGUUGAGUAUUCUGUGAAUAAUUUUGAUUUUAGGUGCAUAUUCUUAAUUCUGUGCAAAACAACCUGAACUGUUAGCUAUUGAAAUGUUGGUGUGUAGUUUAAAUAAAUAAAAAUGAUAUUCUUGACA
ensembl:lncRNA